rnacentral:rRNA from 1 species
UACGAGUGGUGCUAGCGUUAUUCGGAAUCAUUGGGCGUAAAGGGCGCGUAGACGGCGUGUUAAGUUUGCUGUUAAAUCCUUCGGCUCAACUGAAGAUCAGCGGUGAAUACUGGCAUGCUAGAGGGUGGAAGAGAGAAGUGGAAUUCUCGGAGUAGCGGUAAAAUGCGUAGAUCUCGAGAGGAACACCAAUGGCGAAGGCAGGUCUCUGGGCAUUAACUGACGCUGAGGAGCGAAAGCAUGGGGAGCGAACAGG